rnacentral:rRNA from 1 species
GACGAACGCUGGCGGCGUGCUUAACACAUGCAAGUCGAACGGGAUUUAGUAAACAGAAACCUCGGUGGAAGAUUACUAAUGAGAGUGGCGAACGGGUGAGUACCGCGUGAGCAACCUGCCUAUGACAGUGGGAUAGCCUCGGGAAACCGGGAUUAAUACCGCAUAAAAUCGUAGAAACACAUGUUUUAACGGUCAAAGAUUUAUCGGUCAUAGAUGGGCUCGCGUCUGAUUAGCUAGUUGGUGAGAUAACAGCCCACCAAGGCGACGAUCAGUAGCCGGGCUGAGAGGAUGAACGGCCACAUUGGAACUGAGACACGGUCCAAACUCCUACGGGAGGCAGCAGUGGGGAAUAUUGCACAAUGGGGGAAACCCUGAUGCAGCGACGCCGCGUGAACGAAGAAGGUAUUCGUAUCGUAAAGUUCUGUCAUAUGGGAAGAUAAUGACAGUACCAUAGAAGAAAGCUCCGGCUAAAUACGUG